GGCCACCGCAUCACCGCAUCUCCACAGGCGACCAAGCUGUUGGGAUCCCUCUGGUCAGCCCAUAAUAAUUUCCACAUGAAAAUUCCAAAUUUUAGGGCGAAGAUGGUAUAGUUUUAGACAGGGUAGUUCCCAUGCGCUUGCGUCCUUUGACUCCUCGUCUCAAUUAUUGGCCAUACGAGGUGUGCGGGAUAAGUCUGGCACUAUGUGAUAUGUAUUGAAUCGCGGGAAGCAGGUUAGCUGAGUCUGCAAUCGUAGGCCUCGAACAAUAUACCAUGCAUUCACUUCAAGUUCUGACAUUGCUAUUUCACUCGCCGUUGGUGCCAGAAACUGCUUCAAAUUCGGCCCGAAUCAUCUCGUUGUUCAAGCGUUUGUCGAGGUUAUCAAGGAGUUUCCAGCAGCCAUCUGCUCUCCCACGCAGCGUACGAAGUACUGGUAGUUCACACGAUAUGGAAUCAUCCCGAGAGGAGAAAAAUCGACAGAGCUCUUCACCCCUCCCUAGUCCAUAUUCGCGAUUUAUAAAUAUCUGGAUGCCAGUUCAACACGGUCGUUUUGUAAUGGAGGACCUCUUCAUCAAAGCGAUCCCAAUCCCAUGGAACAGUUGCAGCUCCCAAACACCC
rnacentral:sRNA from 1 species